GGGUUGUGAGGUUAAGCGACUAAGCGUACACGGUGGAUGCCCUGGCAGUCAGAGGCGAUGAAGGACGUGCUAAUCUGCGAAAAGCGCCGGCGAGGUGAUAUGAACCUUUGACCCGGCGAUGUCCGAAUGGGGAAACCCAGUGUGAUUCGUCACACUAUCGUUAACUGAAUACAUAGGUUAACGAGGCGAACCGGGGGAACUGAAACAUCUAAGUACCCCGAGGAAAAGAAAUCAACCGAGAUUCCCCCAGUAGCGGCGAGCGAACGGGGAGCAGCCCAGAGUCUGAAUCAGCUUGUGUGUUAGUGGAAGCGUCUGGAAAGUCGCACGGUACAGGGUGACAGUCCCGUACACGAAAGCACACAGGUUGUGAACUCGAAGAGUAGGGCGGGACACGUGGUAUCCUGUCUGAAUAUGGGGGGACCAUCCUCCAAGGCUAAAUACUCCUGACUGACCGAUAGUGAACCAGUACCGUGAGGGAAAGGCGAAAAGAACCCCGGCGAGGGGAGUGAAAAAGAACCUGAAACCGUGUACGUACAAGCAGUGGGAGCACCUUCGUGGUGUGACUGCGUACCUUUUGUAUAAUGGGUCAGCGACUUAUAUUCUGUAGCAAGGUUAACCGUAUAGGGGAGCCGAAGGGAAACCGAGUCUUAACUGGGCGUUAAGUUGCAGGGUAUAGACCCGAAACCCGGUGAUCUAGCCAUGGGCAGGUUGAAGGUUGGGUAACACUAACUGGAGGACCGAACCGACUAAUGUUGAAAAAUUAGCGGAUGACUUGUGGCUGGGGGUGAAAGGCCAAUCAAACCGGGAGAUAGCUGGUUCUCCCCGAAAGCUAUUUAGGUAGCGCCUCGUGAACUCAUCUUCGGGGGUAGAGCACUGUUUCGGCUAGGGGGCCAUCCCGGCUUACCAACCCGAUGCAAACUACGAAUACCGAAGAAUGUUAUCACGGGAGACACACGGCGGGUGCUAACGUCCGUCGUGAAGAGGGAAACAACCCAGACCGCCAGCUAAGGUCCCAAAGUCAUGGUUAAGUGGGAAACGAUGUGGGAAGGCACAGACAGCCAGGAUGUUGGCUUAGAAGCAGCCAUCAUUUAAAGAAAGCGUAAUAGCUCACUGGUCGAGUCGGCCUGCGCGGAAGAUGUAACGGGGCUAAACCAUGCACCGAAGCUGCGGCAGCGACGCUUAUGCGUUGUUGGGUAGGGGAGCGUUCUGUAAGCCGUUGAAGGUGUGCUGUGAGGCAUGCUGGAGGUAUCAGAAGUGCGAAUGCUGACAUAAGUAACGAUAAAGCGGGUGAAAAGCCCGCUCGCCGGAAGACCAAGGGUUCCUGUCCAACGUUAAUCGGGGCAGGGUGAGUCGACCCCUAAGGCGAGGCCGAAAGGCGUAGUCGAUGGGAAACAGGUUAAUAUUCCUGUACUUGGUGUUACUGCGAAGGGGGGACGGAGAAGGCUAUGUUAGCCGGGCGACGGUUGUCCCGGUUUAAGCAUGUAGGCGGAACGAUUAGGUAAAUCCGGUCGUUUUUUAACGCUGAGGUGUGAUGACGAGGCACUACGGUGCUGAAGUAACAAAUGCCCUGCUUCCAGGAAAAGCCUCUAAGCAUCAGGUAACAUCAAAUCGUACCCCAAACCGACACAGGUGGUCAGGUAGAGAAUACCAAGGCGCUUGAGAGAACUCGGGUGAAGGAACUAGGCAAAAUGGUGCCGUAACUUCGGGAGAAGGCACGCUGAUAUGUAGGUGAAGCCCCUGCGGGUGGAGCUGAAAUCAGUCGAAGAUACCAGCUGGCUGCAACUGUUUAUUAAAAACACAGCACUGUGCAAACACGAAAGUGGACGUAUACGGUGUGACGCCUGCCCGGUGCCGGAAGGUUAAUUGAUGGGGUUAGCGGUAACGCGAAGCUCUUGAUCGAAGCCCCGGUAAACGGCGGCCGUAACUAUAACGGUCCUAAGGUAGCGAAAUUCCUUGUCGGGUAAGUUCCGACCUGCACGAAUGGCGUAAUGAUGGCCAGGCUGUCUCCACCCGAGACUCAGUGAAAUUGAACUCGCUGUGAAGAUGCAGUGUACCCGCGGCAAGACGGAAAGACCCCGUGAACCUUUACUAUAGCUUGACACUGAACACUGGUCCUUGAUGUGUAGGAUAGGUGGGAGGCUUUGAAGUGUGGACGCCAGUCUGCAUGGAGCCGUCCUUGAAAUACCACCCUUUAAUGGCUGGUGUUCUAACGUAGACCCGUGAUCCGGGUUGCGGACAGUGUCUGGUGGGUAGUUUGACUGGGGCGGUCUCCUCCCAAAGAGUAACGGAGGAGCACGAAGGUUAGCUAAUCCUGGUCGGACAUCAGGAGGUUAGUGCAAUGGCAUAAGCUAGCUUGACUGCGAGAGUGACGGCUCGAGCAGGUGCGAAAGCAGGUCAUAGUGAUCCGGUGGUUCUGAAUGGAAGGGCCAUCGCUCAACGGAUAAAAGGUACUCCGGGGAUAACAGGCUGAUACCGCCCAAGAGUUCAUAUCGACGGCGGUGUUUGGCACCUCGAUGUCGGCUCAUCACAUCCUGGGGCUGAAGUAGGUCCCAAGGGUAUGGCUGUUCGCCAUUUAAAGUGGUACGCGAGCUGGGUUUAGAACGUCGUGAGACAGUUCGGUCCCUAUCUGCCGUGGGCGCUGGAGAAUUGAGGGGGGCUGCUCCUAGUACGAGAGGACCGGAGUGGACGCAUCACUGGUGUUCGGGUUGUCAUGCCAAUGGCACUGCCCGGUAGCUAAAUGCGGAAAAGAUAAGUGCUGAAAGCAUCUAAGCACGAAACUUGCCCCGAGAUGAGUUCUCCCUGAGACUUUAAGUCUCCUGAAGGAACGUUGAAGACGACGACGUUGAUAGGUCGGGUGUGUAAGCGCAGCGAUGCGUUGAGCUAACCGAUACUAAUGAACCGUGAGGCUUAACCUUACAACGCCGAAGGUGUUU
rnacentral:rRNA from 1 species